CAGCAGCCGCGGUAAUACGUAGGGUGCAAGCGUUAAUCGGAAUUACUGGGCGUAAAGCGUGCGCAGGCGGUUUGUUAAGACAGAUGUGAAAUCCCCGGGCUCAACCUGGGAACUGCAUUUGUGACUGGCAAGCUAGAGUGUGGCAGAGGGGGGUGGAAUUCCGCGUGUAGCAGUGAAAUGCGUAGAUAUGCGGAGGAACACCGAUGGCGAAGGCAGCCCCCUGGGCCAACACUGACGCUCAUGCACGAAAGCGUGGGGAGCAAACAGGAUUAGAGACCCCAGUAGUCCCUGUCUCUUAUAC
rnacentral:rRNA from 1 species